AUGGCAUGGCCUUCUUAUUGAUAAUGAAACUGGAGAAAUAUUCUAACCUUAUCCAAUUCUCUAUUAUUUCCAAUAUUAAUCAUCAAAAUUUGACCAUUUUUAAGUGUUCUCGAAGUCUUCAACUGCAGCACCACUUGGAACCAUAAGAGUAAGACAGUACCUUUUUGUCAUAAGAACCAACUUGUAUCCUGAGCCACUGCUUUAGCACUAUGGAUGAUCAGAUUAGAUUCGCAUUUGAUGAUCAAUCAUUGGAAUUCUGACUACAACUUGUUGAUUUAACUUCAAGAAAUGGCUAGAGGUGGUCCCUCACUAAACCAUUUUUCAAGAAGAUGAAGUUUCCAUAUGUUCUUUGUUGUGAAGAUCAGGGGGACCCUCUGCUUUUAGACUAGUCUUAAAAUAUAAAUAGUAUGACAAUGAUUUGGAAGGCAAAACCAUGUCUUACUUGAGGUGCCAUUGUUUUUAGCUGGUGCCCACAAAAUACUAUUCAAUGCACAUCAUUAGGACUCUAAAACUUGUCAUUGGCCUAUAUAAACAUCUACAAAGAAGGGUUUACCAUAAUAGCUCUCACCAAAACUUGAAACCAUACAAAGCUUUUCUCUACUUUCAGGGUCCUUUUUUGAUAAGUACUUUCAGGGUCCUUACUAAUUGUCCCCUUCCUUAAUUUCUCGUCUGUAUUGAACUUAACGACCAUGGCUAUCUGUAUAAUGAAGAAGUCUUCUACAGCUGGAGAUGUUCCAAAAGGACACUUUGCAGUGUAUGUUGGGGAGAAGCAGAAGAAGAGAUUUGUGAUCCCUAUAUCAUUCUUGAGCCAACCUUCAUUUCAAGACUUGCUAAGUCAAGCAGAGGAUGAAUUUGGCUUUGAUCAUCCAAUGGGUGCUGUCACAAUUCCUUGCUCAGAGGACAUCUUCAUCGGCAUAACUUCCCAGUUUAGAAUUUAAGUAUAUAGUUUUAGAUCAUUUUUCCUUUUUAGAUCUCACAAUUUUGUAUAUCAAAGUAGGAUAUCCAUCUUGUAUAGUUAGUUUAUUAGAAGCUACGUAAAGCUUAGCACCACAAAAAUUGGCGCUUUUUGACUCACAAAGACACUAAUUCUAAGAAUACAGAUACAACAUUCUUUUCUCUCACUAAAUGCAUCCGAAAGAAAUUUAUCUUUCGGUGCUGAAAAAUUCAGCUUAUCCACUUCGCCAAUAUAUAAGAAAGAGUUUUCUGUGUUCUAAUUGUGUAAAAGAUAUUUAUACUAGUAGGUCACUUACAAGGUAUACAAAUAAAUUUUUAUGAUUAGUAAUUGGUAACCUAAUAACCUAUUAUAGUAAACAGUGAUAUUAGUACACAAAAUAUUUAUGCUAUCCGCUGUUUUUAAGUUAAAUCCCUUGAAAUAUUGCCUGAUGUGUUCUUAUUGUCUUCAAAAUAUCAACUUUGGCAUAUCCAGAAAUUGUUUAUGAAGAAUGCAGCUGUGUUGUUCGAUGAAAUUCCUGUAAAGAACUGAAGAUAAGAUGUGGGUGAGGGGCCUUGCAUCGGCGAGGAAGAUUUCAUUUCCAUGCUGAUGUUCAUUACCAGCCCGUGCAUUUUGGCCCUUACUAAUUUUGUUCCUUAUUUGCUCAUCUAUAUUGAACUUAACAACCAUGGCUAUCCAUAUGCCUCGUAUAAUAAAAAAGUCUUCUAAAGCUGGAGAUGUUCCGAAGGGUCAUUUUGCUGUUUAUGUUGGGGAGAAGCAGAAGAAGAGAUUUGUAAUUCCCAUAUCGUUCUUGAGUCAACCUUUAUUUCAAGACUUGCUUAGUCAAGCUGAAGAAGAAUUUGGCUUUGAUCAACCAAUGGGUGGUCUCACAAUUCCCUGCGGCGAGGAUGUCUUCAUUGAUCUUAUUUCUUACUUGAGUAGGAUAUGAGGCUUUUCCUUUCCCAGUUUUGUAAAGAAUAGGAUUUCCAGUUUGUACGUUAGAUGAAUUAGGAAAGACACAUUAUUCAUAUUACUGAAAAUUAGAUAGAGGGGGCUACUGUCAGCUGCAACAGUAGAUCCCAAUUUUGAAUGUAAUUUGCAGUAGCUGAUGUCAAAAAGACAUACAGCACAUUCAUUAGCAAAUGAAAUCUGUUCAUAUUCACUCUUUA